UACGGAGGAUCCAAGCGUUAUCCGGAAUCAUUGGGUUUAAAGGGUCCGUAGGCGGUUUGGUAAGUCAGUGGUGAAAGCCCAUCGCUCAACGAUGGAACGGCCAUUGAUACUGCCAGACUUGAAUUACUAGGAAGUAACUAGAAUAUGUAGUGUAGCGGUGAAAUGCUUAGAUAUUACAUGGAAUACCAAUUGCGAAGGCAGGUUACUACUAGUGGAUUGACGCUGAUGGACGAAAGCGUGGGGAGCGAACAGG
rnacentral:rRNA from 1 species